AGAUUGAACGCUGGCGGCAUGCCUUACACAUGCAAGUCGAACGGCAGCACGGGAGCAAUCCUGGUGGCGAGUGGCGAACGGGUGAGUAAUAUAUCGGAACGUGCCCAGUCGUGGGGGAUAACGCAGCGAAAGCUGUGCUAAUACCGCAUACGAUCUAUGGAUGAAAGCGGGGGAUCGCAAGACCUCGCGCGAUUGGAGCGGCCGAUAUCAGAUUAGCUAGUUGGUGGGGUAAAAGCCUACCAAGGCGACGAUCUGUAGCUGGUCUGAGAGGACGACCAGCCACACUGGAACUGAGACACGGUCCAGACUCCUACGGGAGGCAGCAGUGGGGAAUUUUGGACAAUGGGCGCAAGCCUGAUCCAGCAAUGCCGCGUGCAGGAUGAAGGCCUUGGUUGUAACUGC
rnacentral:rRNA from 1 species